rnacentral:rRNA from 1 species
GACGAACGCUGGCGGCGUGCUUAACACAUGCAAGUCGAACGGAAAGGCCCUGCUUUUGUGGGGUGCUCGAGUGGCGAACGGGUGAGUAACACGUGAGUAACCUGCCCUUGACUUUGGGAUAACUUCAGGAAACUGGGGCUAAUACCGGAUAGGAGCUCCUGCUGCAUGGUGGGGGUUGGAAAGUUUCGGCGGUUGUGGAUGGACUCGCGGCUUAUCAGCUUGUUGGUGGGGUAGUGGCUUACCAAGGCUUUGACGGGUAGCCGGCCUGAGAGGGUGACCGGCCACAUUGGGACUGAGAGACGGCCCAGACUCCUACGGGAGGCAGCAGUGGGGAAUAUGGCACAAUGGGCGGAAGCCUGAUGCAGCAACGCCGCGUGCGGGAUGACGGCCUUCGGGGUGUAAACCGCUUUCGCAUGUAACGAAGCGUGAGUGACGGUAAUGGGUAAAGAAGCACCGGCUAACUACGUG